AUGCCGGUGAGUAAUAUAGAAGUGAUGCAAAUUUUGGGGAAAAGUUCAUCGAAUAUUUUGACUUUGCCGGUUUGAUUUGAGUUCGAUGAUGAUUAAUUUCGAUUUGCUAGUCAUGCUUUGGGUUCGAACAGUUUUGAUUAAUGUGGAGGCUAUUGAUGGUGGUGGGUGAAGGUUGAAGAUGCAGUAGGGCUUGGUAGUGGACUAGUGGUAAGGCGGUGGUGCUGGAUGGAGUGGCAAAAUGUAGAGGUUGAAGAUGAAGUAUGGCGGCAGGGUUUCACAAACAAAAUAAUAGAGAAAGAGGGGGCCCUAAUCAAUUUCUAGCUUUUUUGUUUUUUUAUUAUUAAGGGUAAAAUUGUCAUUUCACAUCCAUUUAACUGAAAAACUAACUUGCAUUCACUCUGGGGACUAUCCGAGUAGGCAUGAGCAAAUGGUAUAAAAUACCGAUCCCAUCCCGAUUCCGAUACCGAUAAUCCCGAUCCCGACAUGUUUCGGUAUCGUAAACGGUAUCCACAUUUUGGUUUUUUCGGUAUCGGUACGGUAUGGUAUCGGUAAAAUACCGACUUUUACCCUCAAAAUACCGAUACCGUACCGAACCGACAUGUUUCGGUAUCGGUAUCAAGUAUUCAUGAAAUUUCGGGAUCGGGAUUAUCGGUAUCGGGACGGGAUCGGUAUUUGCUCAUCCCUAUAUCCGAGUAACAAACUACCACAAGUGGCCUAGUGGUGGAGUGACUUGGGUUCUCCAAUGGAGACUCAAGUUCAAUUCCCAUUAGUGCCACUUUGGUGGCCACCGACACCCGCUUUAAAGCCGGACCGAGGACACUCGAGGUCUCGGGUUCGAAACAUGUUUCUUACCCCUCUUUGAUGGCUAUGGGUAUUUGCUGCCAGGGAUCCUUGUCGGGUGGUGAACUGGGAAGGGAGAUCCCUUCCGCGGUCAGGGGUACCGUGCAACUACCCUUUUUUAUAUCCGAGUAACAAACUGGUAAACCAUAGGGAAUACCGAUGUAAUUUCCAAAGGUUGAGGACUAAAGGUAUUAUUUUACAAAAUCACAAACUCUAUAAAGAACUAUAAAAGUCGUUAACGUGAUUCAUCUUUUUGUCGUACCAUAUAGUACAAAUUAGUAGAACCGAAUUUUACUUUAAAUAUUAUAAAGAACUAUAAAAGUCUUUAACAUGAUUCAUCUUUUUGUCCUGGGAUCAUAUUUUUUUUUUUGAAAAUUUCCUGGGAUCAUAUGAACCGUUAAAUUUAGUGUCUCAUCUAGAUUUAUGCGUUUUUAAAAUUACAUAAAAAUGUGUGUUUGAUUUCAGAAACACGACAAGACAAAUAAUAAUUAAGAUAUAUACUUUGU
rnacentral:lncRNA from 1 species